rnacentral:rRNA from 1 species
UGGGGAAUAUUGCACAAUGGCGGGAACUCUGAUGCAGCGACGCCGCUUGAACGAAGAAGGCUUUCGAGUCGUAAAGUUCUUUUAUAUGGGAAGAUAAUGACGGUACCAUAAGAAAAAGCCCCGGCUAACUACGUGCCAGCAGCCGCGGUAAUACGUAGGGGGCUAGCGUUGUCCGGAAUCACUGGGCGUAAAGGGUUCGCACGCGGAAAUGCAAGUCAGGUGUAAAAGGCAGUAGCUUAACUACUGUAAGCAUUUGAAACUGCAUAUCUUGAGAAGAGUAGAGGUAAGUGGAAUUUUGUGUGUAGCGGUGAAAUGCCUCGAUAUUACAAAGAAUACCGGAGGCGAAGGCGACUUACUGGGCUCAUUCUGACGCUGAGGACCGAAAGCGUGGGUAGCACACAGG